AACAUUUAGUCCAUAGCACCUGAACUGCUUUCCCCGUGCAAAAGAUGGAGUGAAUGAGAAUCGGAUGGAAGUAAGGGGAGAGACACAGCAGUGAAGAGCACAAAAGCAGUAAAUUCGUCUGCAGGAUGUGGUGUGGGGGAACACUCACAGGAGAAGAAACACAGCAAGACACAGAGGGAAGAUGGCCACAAGAAGAUGGAGGCAGAAAUUGGAAUUAUGCUGCCACAGCCAAGGAAUAUCUGGAGCUACCAGAAGCUGGAAGACGCAAGGAGAGAUCUGCCUCUAGAGCCUCCAGAGGGAGCACAGCCCUGCUAACAUCUUGAUUUCAGAUUCCUGGCCUCCGGAACUGGUGGCCACUGCUGUUAUCUGAUCACUGUGUGACAGAAGGCUGAAGCCUUAUAACCAGAAAUAAAGAGGUCCGUCCAGCUUUCUUUCCUGGCACAAACCAUCCCUGCUAGAAAUGAAGCAUCCUUAGUACCUCAUUGCCCUUGUCUUGUGAAGGCUGCUGGUUUUUAGGAAACUGACAAGCUCACAAAGUGUUUAUUUCAAUACAAAAUGGGAAGACAAAGGGCAGAAAGCUUGGAUUUAAAUAAAAAAUGAGUCAGUUGAGGGAGUAUGAAAGUAUGGAAAUGAAUCAACCUACAAUGAAUGUGAGAUGACCGCAACAAGCAUGGUACACCGUGUCGACUAUUGUUUUCCCAACUCAAAAAAUUAGUAAGGCAUUUGGCAUUAUUUUUAAAACACUCUCAUCUUUCUAGUUUGAUAAGAGAAGCACUAAAGAGCACUUUAGUGUUUACUUAGGAAAAUUAAAACAUUGAGUUACUAAAGUUCCUAAGGAAGCUUAUUUAACUUGCUAUUUUUUUCUAAUUAAUACUUCAUGUGACAUAUAUGUAUUGAACACUUCUUGUGAGCCAGGCAUUGUGCUAUAUGCUGAAGAUACCAAGAAUGGUAAUAAAAUAAGUCCCUCCAAUCAAGCAGUUUGCACACCAUUAGGGGAAAUAGACAAACAGUGCAAGGGUACUGAGAUUUUUAAAAAUUGCAACAUAAUACUGGUUAGAGUUCAAAGACUUAAUAAUGAUGAUGAUACUAGUAAUGUCAAUACUAUAUGUUUUACAUGUGUGAAUUAGGGGAAAGAGAGAAAAGUAUGCCUAAUUACCUCUGGAAAAAUAAGGUUGCCUACCUACCCUCUUGGCACAUUCCUGUUUCUCCGAUGGGAACAAAAGGCCAAUGUAGGGAGAAGGAGCCAGGAAGAGAAAAGUAUACAAGACCUACAGCUUCGAGAAUUCAUAUUGCCUUUGGAGAAAUGCAAACAGUGCAGGGAAGAGGUGUGGGAAAGUGUGAGAGAUGAGGUAGGGGCCAGAUCCUGAAAAAUCUUUUGUGGGUAUCAUUCUCUGAGCCAGUUUUCUUCGGACUGGUGUUUAUAAAUAGAUAAGGCAGGGAGGGGCAUUUUGAAUUCCUCUACAAGAAUGUAUGAAGGCAAGUGCAUUUGAUUCAUUUCAAAUAUAAUCUUUAAAAAAAUAACAUUGGCAUAUUCUGACUAUUUGUAUAAUCAUCUUUUAAGGUAGUGCUGCCACAUGAUUUUAAACUUUGCAUUUUCACUUAUAUUUAUAAUAAUUAAUUUUUAUUUAAUUGUAGCCUAUUGCAUAUUAAGGGUGCUGAGCAUCAAAUUAAUCUUAGCUCUCUAUCUUUGUAGUAGUAUCUGUGCCAGAGAGUCCUGGUUGACUCCUAAUAUAAAUUUCUCCUUCUUUCAAAGUAGUGGAACCCCAAAUAUUUAGAUGGGUACAUGGCUGCCCAGGAAGAAACAAACAAACAAACAAACAAAAACAUUGCCCAGACUCCUUUGCAGCUAGAUGUGGCCAUGUGAAUAAGUUCAAGUCAAUAAAUUUUAAACAAGUUUCUUGUAACAGCUUCUGGAAUCUUCCUUAAAUACAUGGUGAUUUUUUUAUAUACACAGGUGAUUUUAAAC
rnacentral:lncRNA from 1 species